rnacentral:lncRNA from 1 species
AAACGGAACUUCUUUCAGUAGACAAACCAGUAGUACAGCUUUUUACUCCAGACCAAGAAUUAUUCAGGUCUGUGGGUGUUGCAUGUCCACUAGAUGAAACUGAUGAAAGCAUUUCACAACUGUAGUUAUUGAUGGCUUCUUGCACAUUUCUCUCAAAAACUGCUGGAAGAGAUUCUCCACUUUUUCCUGAAUGAUACCGAUUUGUAGAAACUCUGGAGAGUCCCUUCCCUACAACCAG